UACGUAGGGGCCGAGCGUUGUCCGGAGUUAUUGGGCAUAAAGCGCGCGCAGGCGGCCUCGCGCGCCCGACGUGAAAGCCCCCGGCUUAACCGGGGAGGGUCGUUGGGGACGGCGGGGCUUGAGGGCGGGAGAGGUCGGUGGAAUUCCCGGUGUAGUGGUGAAAUGCGUAGAGAUCGGGAGGAACACCAGUGGCGAAGGCGACUACCUGGCCUGUUCUUGACGCUGAGGCGCGAAAGCUGGGGGAGCAAACGGG
rnacentral:rRNA from 1 species